rnacentral:misc_RNA from 1 species
GUGAAGAACGUAGCGAAAUGCGAUACGUAAUGUGAAUUGCAGAAUUCAGUGAAUCAUCGAGUCUUUGAACGCACAUUGCGCCCCCUGGUAUUCCGGGGGGCAUGCCUGUCCGAGCGUCAUUGCUGCCCUCAAGCACGGCUUGUGUGUUGGGCCUCCGUCCUCCUCCCGGGGGACGGGCCCGAAAGGCAGCGGCGGCACCGCGUCCGGUCCUCGAGCGUAUGGGGCUUCGUCACCCGCUCUUGUAGGCCCGGCCGGCGCUUGCCGACACAUCAAUCUUUUUUCCAGGUUGACCUCGGAUCAGGUAGGGAUACCCGCUGAACUUAAGCAUAUCAAUAAGCGGAGGA